CCCUUAGAUGUUCUGGGCCGCACGCGCGCUACACUGAUGCAUUCAACGAGUUUCUUCCUGGUCCGAGAGGAAUGGGUAACCUUUUGAAAGUGCAUCGUGAUAGGGAUAGACUAUUGCAAUUAUUGGUCUUCAACGAGGAAUUCCUAGUAGACGUAGUUCAUCAGACUGCAUCGAUUACGUCCCUGCCCUUUGUACACACCGCCCGUCGCUCCUACCGAUUGAAUGCUCAGGUGAGCCAUUCGGACUUUCAUCAUGCUGGUUUCCAGUUUUGAUGAAGGAAAGUCUUGCGAACCUUAUCAUUUAUAGGAAGGAGAAGUCGUAACA
rnacentral:rRNA from 1 species